UGAGGAAUAUUGGUCAAUGGGCGAGAGCCUGAACCAGCCAAGUCGCGUGAGGGAAGACGGUCCUACGGAUUGUAAACCUCUUUUGUUCGGGGGAGGCAAUAAAGCGUACGCGUACGCAGAUGCGAGUACCCGAAGAAAAAGCAUCGGCUAACUCCGUGCC
rnacentral:rRNA from 1 species